GAUUCUGGCUCAGGAUGAACGCUAGCGGCAGGCCUAAUACAUGCAAGUCGUACGGGAUCUCCCCUCGGGGGAGUGAGAGUGGCGCACGGGUGCGUAACGCGUAUGCAACCAACCCUCAUCCGGGGGACAGCCGGUGGAAACGCCGGGUAAUACCCCAUAUCCACUUUGGGAGGCAUCUUCUGAGGUGGAAAGACUUUGGUCGGAGGAGGACGGGCAUGCGUCCCAUUAGCUAGUCGGCGGGGUGACGGCCCACCGAGGCGACGAUGGGUAGGGGAUCUGAGAGGACGGUCCCCCACACUGGUACUGAGACACGGACCAGACUCCUACGGGAGGCAGCAGUAAGGAAUAUUGGGCAAUGGGGGGAACCCUGACCCAGCCCAUGCCGCGUGAGGGAAGUAGGCCCUACGGGUCGUGAACCUCUUUUGUCCAGGGACAAGGACGGGGUCGGGAACUCCGUUUGAGGGUACUGGAAGAAUAAGCAUCGGCUAACUCCGUGCCAGCCGCCGC
rnacentral:rRNA from 1 species